GCGCUUCUUUAAGAAGCGCCAGCAGCAAGCUGGCGCCUCUUAAAGAGGCGCCAGCUACAAGCUAGCGCCUCUUUAAGAGGCGCCAGCCACAAGC